AUUGUUGUAACAGGUGGUAUGCAAUAUGCAUAACAAUGAUAAUGCUGUUCAUGCAUAGACAACAUUUAAUGUAAGGCUGUGAAAACAAUUAAUAGCAUCCAAAAUAAAAGUAGUUUAUUUAAGGUACAUUUCUGUAUAUGUAUAUAAAUGCACAUACAUACACGUGUAUAUCACCCUCUUCACAUGAACCCUGAGGUGAUCUAUCUGCCGUGUUUCCUCCACAUCUUCUGCAUCCAGCUGCGUCCUCUGGUGAAUGCAGGUAUUUUCACUUCUGCACACACGAGUCCAACACUGUCUCUGUCACAUCCACCAUCUGCCAACACCAAGUCUCCAGGUGUGUUUCUGAUUCAGAUGAAGUGAAGUCAGUGUCUGUGAUGGAGGGAGAUUCAGUCUCUCUACAGACUAACACUGAACUACAGACAAAUGAUGAGGUAUUCUGGACAUGUGGACACUCAGAGACUCGUAUAGCUGAAAUUGAUAAAGACACUGGAAGAUUCUCCACAUGUGAUGUUCUUGAUGUGAGAUUCAGAGACAGACUGAAGCUGGAUCAUCAGACUGGAUCUCUGAUCAUCACAAACACCAGAAACACAGACUCUGGACUUUAUCAAGUGACCAUCAGAGGGAGAAGAUUGACCACAUACAGAUUCAAUCUUACUGUCUCUGAGCUGAGCAUCAUGAGAGGCAGAUCUGCGCCAGAGUGAUCCUGACUGUCAGCUUCGAUAUGGUCAGCAGAGUUUCUGCUUGUCUCUAGUAAAUGCAUGUUCCUGUACUGUAACCUACACAGCAGCUAGAGACAAACACAGAGUUGCUCAGCAUUAUGAGCCGGCGGAGAGCAAUCGCAGAGACUUUGGUCCUUCAUGAGAUUGAUUCUUACUGUAGUUUAAUCUCUAUACUGUGGACCCUCUGUUAUGCCGUUAAUAAUGUUAAAAGAAUAAUGGUGCAGUAGAUUUUGGAUAUUUGACUGUUUUAUUUGUAAUUUUCUUUAUUAUUGACAUGUAUUACAACAAAAGCAGCCAA